UAAGAAGUUGCUCCCACUAUUCUUUUAUCAUGCACACUGUCCACAUCAGCGACGUGACAUGUCACAACAUAUAUAGAGCCAUCCAUCUAAGCAAAGAAAAAAAAACACCUCAGCAAAAACAACUAAGCAAAUAUGCCAUCUAAUCAAAUUGUGUGAUUUAAUCUCUUUAUAUAGUACGCAAAUCGGUUCCUCUUCGUCUUCUUUUAAGGCAGAGACGCAAAUCGGUUCCUCUUCGUCUUCUUUUAAGGCGGAGACGCAAAUCGGUUCCUCUUCGUCUUCUUUUAAGGUGGAGAGCCAUCGUCCUAUCCUCGAAUACCCAACACAUCUGCUCCUCCGUUUGGGUCCUCUUUGCACAUCUCAUCUCCCCCAACCGAAAUCUUGAAGGCUCUAUCGCAGCAGCAACGAGCUUUCGUUGCCGCACUCGAUGGCAGACACCCAGCUCCAACAAAUCUGGCAGCCUUGGCGGCCUCUGGCUUCUCUGGCGGCUGGGCUCUUGGAUGUGGAAGCGGCCAGGACUGGGCAGUUGGGUGCCACCACGUCCAGUUCAUACGAAUCGUGAAGGCCGCUCGGUGCCACCACACGACUUGUUCUAGCGACCGAUCGGGCAUCCUACGGCAGAGAACGGAUACCAUGUAUGCCGCGCGAAUGUGAUCGAUAGCGUCUUGGGCGUCCUCCUCAUUAGCACCACCAUCGAUCAUGUGACCGUGAACUCAUCAAGGUUCAUCACAAGGGAGUAGGGGUUCGAGACAGUCAAUCGACAUUCACUACUGCAGCUUCAAACGCGGUUCGUGGGGGCAGCUCCAGCACUGGCAAAAGGAUCUCGCUAUCAGGGCCAGACAAAGCAACUAGGUCAUUGGUUGUGUCAGAGAGUUCGGCUCGGAUAACUAUGAGCAACCUUUCCUUUGCCUUACUUGGUUAAAUACCAUGUUAUCUUUCUUAUUGUAAGUCAAAUUGUAGCCUACUUGAAAACAACUGCCACCCUCACUGUAAUUCACAAUGUCAUCUUCACACACCCAAAUAAGCUAAAUUUUAGCAGUAUAAUAGGAUUGGAGUUGAGGAAAAGCAUCAAUGUUACUUUUUUGAGCUGAAAUGUGUUACUUUCAUAAUAUCACACUGCAUUUUUCUCCAAA